CCCUUAGAUGUUCUGGGCGACACGCGCGCUACAAUGGCAGCUGCAAAGAGUUUUGGGCCUUCGCGGCCCGUUCCUGUCUCGAGAGAGAUGUGGAAAUCUUUGAAAAGCUGUCGUGCUGGGGAUUGAGCCUUGGAAUUAUUGCUCAUGAACGAGGAUUCUCUAGUAGUCCCAGUUCAUCAGACUGGGGCGAAUGCGACCCUGCCCUUUGUACACACCGCCCGUCGCACCUACUGAUGGGAGUUUUGGCGAGGCCUUGGGAGGUCUGGCGACUUCGGUCGUCGGGUCAAACUCGGUCGAGCCAACCCUCCUAGAGGAAGGUGAAGUCGUAACA
rnacentral:rRNA from 1 species